rnacentral:rRNA from 1 species
UGGGGAAUUUUCCGCAAUGGGCGAAAGCCUGACGGAGCAAUACUGCGUGAGGGAGGAAGGCUUUUGGGUUGUAAACCUCUUUUCUCAGGGAAGAAGCUCUGACGGUACCUGAGGAAUCAGCCUCGGCUAACUCCGUGCCAGCAGCCCCGGAAAUACGGAGGAGGCAAGCGUUAUCCGGAAUCAUUGGGCGUAAAGCGUUCGCAGGCGGCGAUUCAAGUCUGCUGUCAAAGCCCGCAGCUCAACUGCGGACAGGCAGUGGAAACUGUAUCGCUAGAGUGCGGCAGGGGUAGAGGGAAUGCCCGGUGUAGCGGUGAAAUGCGUAGAUAUCGGGAAGAACACCAGUGGCGAAAGCGCUCUACUGGGCCGCAACUGACGCUCAGGGACGAAAGCUAGGGGAGCGAAAGGGAUUAGAUACCCCCGUAGUCC